UCCCUGGUGGUCCACUGGGUAAGACACCAAGCUGCUACUGCAGGGGACCUGGGUUCAAUUCCUAGUCAGGGAA
rnacentral:tRNA from 1 species